rnacentral:rRNA from 1 species
GACGAACCGUGCGAACGUUGUUCGGAAUCACUGGGCUUAAAGGGAGCGUAGGCGGGUUGUCCAGUCUGGGGUGAAAUCCCACGGCUCAACAGUGGAAUUGCCUUAGAUACUGACGACCUCGAGGGAGGUAGGGGCGGGCGGAACUGUGGGUGGGGCGGUGAAAUGCGUUGAUUGGCACAGGAACUCCGGUGGCGAAGGCGGCUCGCCGGGCCUCUUUUGACGCUGAGGCACGAAAGCUAGGGGAGCAAACGGG